UGUGGUCUCAAACUCAAUUCCUGGAGGGCCACAGCUCUGCAGAGUUUAGCUCCAAAUCACACCUGCUUAGAAGUUUCUAGUGAUCCUGAAGACCUUGAUUAGCUGGAUCAGGUGUGUUUGAUUAGGGUUGGAGCUAAACUGUGCAGAGCUGUGGCCCUCCAGGAAUUGAGUUUGAGACCAGUGCAUUAAGUAAACAUCAAUACAGGACAAAGAGUAGACAGAAACAGAAGGCUAAUAAGGACAGGCAAACAAAAGGAGCAAACGAGAUCAUUAACAAGGUGACGGAAGCUACACAGCGAAAGGGGUCAAACGCUAGAAGUCCAUCUGUGAGGCCGCCAAGAUUCAUGGAUAAAAGUCUGAUCACAGAGGGGGAGAAACACACAGUAAGAGAGAAACCAGGAUCCUUCCAUCUCUGUCUGUAAAACAACACGAGCGCUCACACGUUCACACUUACGCUGAAGGAGUCGUGAAUGGACCAUCUGACCUCGGAUGACGCAAUGACUCACAGACGGCCCUCGUGGACUCCACCGCACGGCUAAAAACACUCAGCACCAUCUGUUAGCAGCUCGUGAGAUACAGCACAAAUGAUUCACUGCAGAGGAGUCUUAAUGGAAGGGUCUGUCACAACAACUUAUUUAUAAUAGGUAUAUUUCAUAUAUAUUUUAUUUUUCAUUUUGCGGUUUAAAUGUGUCUCAGAUUAUCCGUACCAUCUGCCUUUACAUAAACGCACUGGUGAUACCAUGAUUAAUGGUGAUGGUACACAUAUUAAUAUCAUAAUUACUUCAAAUAUCAAAGAUAAUUCAGUAAAUAGUUCAUGUUUAAAAAAAAAAACCAUAGUAUUUCCAUGAUACCCAUCCAAAAAAUACAUGGAAAUACCACGGUAAAUGUGUGCUAAAUGUGAAAAAAACAAAAAAAAACACUGUGGUAGCACCAUGAUACAUGUGCCAAAAAUAAAAUAAAAUAAAAUCUAAGGAGUACCAUGAAAGAGGCAACCUACAGAAAAAAAACAUGGUAGUUAAAUAGUAAAUGUGCA
rnacentral:lncRNA from 1 species